ACUCCUACGGGAGGCAGCAGUGAGGAAUAUUGGACAAUGGGGCAAGCCCAUCGAUCCAGCCAUGCCGCGUGCAGGAAGACUGCCCUAUGGGUUGUAAACUGCUUUUGUACAGGAAGAAACAUUCCCUCGUGAGGGAGCUUGACGGUACUGUAAGAAUAAGGAUCGGCUAACUCCGUGCCAGCAGCCGCGGUAAUACGGAGGAUCCAAGCGUUAUCCGGAAUCAUUGGGUUUAAAGGGUCCGUAGGUGGACGAUUAAGUCAGGGGUGAAAGUCUGCAGCUCAACUGUAGAAUUGCCUUUGAUACUGGUUGUCUUGAAUUAUUGUGAAGUGGUUAGAAUGAUGUAGUGUAGCGGUGAAAUGCAAUAGAUAUUACAUAGAAUACCAAUUGCGAAGGCAGAUCCACUAACAAUAUAUUGACACUGAUGGACGAAAAGCGUGGGGAGCGAACAGGAUUAG
rnacentral:rRNA from 1 species